UGUUAUUUGAAGAAAUAACAUAAAUAAUAUAUUCUGCCCAAUGCUAAUUUAAGUUAAUGGCUGCAGUAUCCUGACUGUACAAAGGUAGCAUAAUAAUUUGUUAUUUAAUUGGUAACUGGAAUGAAAGGAAUGAUGCUAGACAUUUUUUCUUUUUUUUUAUAAUUAAAAAUUGAAACAAAAUUCAAAAUGAUUUUAUACACAAAAAAGACGAGAAGACCCUGUGGAAUAUAAAAAUUAUUUUAUCAACUGGGGCGGUUUAGGAAAAACAUCCUUAUUAUUUUAUCAAAAAAGAUCAACAAAUUUAGUUAAAGAUGAAGUAUUACCCCAGGGAUAACAGCAAGAUAAAAAUAGAGAGAUCUUAUCCCUAUUUUUGAUUUUGACCUCGAUGUUGGACUAGGGAAAAUUCUUAAUGCAGAAGUUAAGAGAUUUUGACUGUUCGUCAACUAAUUCCCU
rnacentral:rRNA from 1 species